UACGUAGGGGGCGAGCGUUGUCCGGAUUUACUGGGCGUAAAGGGUGAGUAGGCGGUUGUAUAUGUCAGGUGUAAAAGGCUAUGGCUUAACCAUGGUUAGCACUUGAAACUGUACAACUUGAGUGCAGGAGAGGUAAGUGGAAUUCCUAGUGUAGCGGUGAAAUGCGUAGAUAUUAGGAGGAGCACCAGUGGCGAAGGCGACUUACUGGACUGUAACUGACGCUGAGUCACGAAAGCGUGGGUAGCAAACAGGAUUAGAUACCCUGGUAGU
rnacentral:rRNA from 1 species